rnacentral:rRNA from 1 species
UGAGGAAUAUUGGUCAAUGGGCGAGAGCCUGAACCAGCCAAGUAGCGUGCAGGAUGACGGCCCUCCGGGUUGUAAACUGCUUUUAGUUGGGAAUAAAAAAAGGGACUUGUCCCUUCUUGUAUGUACCUUCAGAAAAAGGACCGGCUAAUUCCGUGCCAGCAGCCGCGGUAAUACGGAAGGUCCAGGCGUUAUCCGGAUUUAUUGGGUUUAAAGGGAGUGUAGGCGGUUUGUUAAGCGUGUUGUGAAAUUUAGAUGCUCAACAUUUAACUUGCAGCGCGAACUGUCAAACUUGAGUACACGCAACGUAUGCGGAAUUCAUGGUGUAGCGGUGAAAUGCUUAGAUAUCAUGAAGAACUCCGAUUGCGAAGGCAGCAUACGGGAGUGUAACUGACGCUUAAGCUCGAAGGUGCGGGUAUCGAACAGGAUUAGAUACCCUGGUAGUCCGCACAGUAAACGAUGGAUGCCCGCUGUUAGCGCCUGGCGUUAGCGGCUAAGCGAAAGCAUUAAGCAUCCCACCUGGGGAGUACGCCGGCAACGGUG